GCCUUGUUAGCUCAGUCGGUGGAGGAUCAAAAUUUAAUCUGAGGGUCGUGGGUUCGAGUCCCACAGAAGGCU
rnacentral:tRNA from 1 species